rnacentral:lncRNA from 1 species
AGAUAUUAAGUUUCUAAACCGGAGGACCCUGGACUUGCCUUAUUUGGAGUUUUCCAACUUUGGAUCUUUACAAACGUAUGUGUGGCAACCAGGGGAGCUUCUACAUCAUCUAGAAGGCCUUAAGAGAAUAUUUAUGUGCAGAAAGGACCAUUGGAUCAGGUGGAUCCAAUCUUACCCAACCAUACAUCAAGACUUACUAAAUAUAGACCCGAGAGCAUUCAAUGCCCAUCCCCAACGGCUAUGUUCUGAUUUGAGGCAUCGAAUGAGCGUUUCCAUAAGGCUUCUCAAUCAUGGUUACACCCAGAAGCUGUCUAGAUACAAAGGAGGCGAGCACACCUUCCAUUUAUGGCCUAAAUCCGCCAUAAAAGCUCCAACGGCCACAAGAUCAAGGCACCAUCAACACUUGAUCAUGUAUCAAUUAAUUUUGUGUAUUUUAUUUCUUAUUUAAGCUUUUAGACCGUUUUCUACUGUCCUAGAGUCGAGCCUAUAUAAGCUCAAGUCAUUUCAUUGUAAUAC